rnacentral:rRNA from 2 species
AUUGAACGCUGGCGGCAGGCCUAACACAUGCAAGUCGAGCGGUAGCACAGGAGAGCUUGCUCUCCGGGUGACGAGCGGCGGACGGGUGAGUAAUGUCUGGGAAACUGCCUGAUGGAGGGGGAUAACUACUGGAAACGGUAGCUAAUACCGCAUAACGUCUUCGGACCAAAGUGGGGGACCUUCGGGCCUCACGCCAUCAGAUGUGCCCAGAUGGGAUUAGCUAGUAGGUGGGGUAAUGGC